AGGCCCGUUGGUCAAGCGGUUAAGACACCGCCCUUUCACGGCGGUAACACGGGUUCGAAUCCCGUACGGGUCACC
rnacentral:tRNA from 1 species